rnacentral:lncRNA from 1 species
GUGCGUGCGUGUGUGUGUGUGUGAUGGUGGUGCUGGAGAUAGUGGUGGUGGAGUAGGCAGAAAGAUGGCUUCAUGCUCAGAACCUGUAUAUAAAUUGUUACCAGGUGAAGGUGUCUUAACAGCCAAUCAGUUUCCUCUAAAACUGCGCAUGCCGAGAUUAUCCAGGUGGGCUCCAUAUAAUCACAAGCAUCUUUAAAAGAAGCCGCAAGAGGCAAAAUAGCGUUAAAGUGAUGUUAUUUGAGGAAGAGUUGACAGUUUAGAACACUGCUGCCUUUGAAGAUAGAGUGGGGCCAUGAACCAAGGAAUUCUGGCUGUUUCUUGAAUCUGGAAAAAAGCAAGAAAAUGGAUUUCCCUUUAGGAAAAGGAAAGGCCUGCAUGAGGCUUCAGAGCUACAGGACUGUAAGCUUGUAAAGGAGAGCUUCUCUGGGAACCACCAUGUAAUUAUGUCACAGAAUGAGUACGCUGUCUGUGGUACAGAUCACAUCCUGCAUCUGAGGCUGACAGGUAAGCCUCUGAUUAUUCUUAUGUAUUCAACUUGAAACCACAAUUGCAGGCUAGUGUGCCUGGGUAGACUGGGACUUGAGAUGACCGCUAUUUAGUGAAUACCUAUUACGUGUCAGGCCCUGUUAGGUGGUUUAAAAUGUUUCUAAUUAGCCUUAAACAUUUAGUGUUAUCUUUCUAGUAUGUAUGCAAGAAAAUUAAAACUCAGAAAGGUUAAAUAGUUUACUAAGAAUACAUGGCUAUUAAAUGACAAUCUGGGAUUUCAUCCCUAAAUCUAUGGUAUUUCUACUACAACUUACUGUGCACAGAGGUGAUUAAUAGAAUGAAAGAAUCACUGAAGAUGGAACAGGUGGAAAUGGCCUUAUUUCAUGCUCCAAAUAUUAUGGCAUUCAGUUUUGGUAACUCAAUAACAGGGCAGUCAUUCCUUUCAUUACUAUCAACUCAUAAUAUUACUACUGGAUUUCUGGCUUGUGUGACAGACAGGAAAACAUAUUUUGGGAAAAACAGUUCAUUUGAUUUAAGUAUGUUUGAAUAUGCUUAAAUGAUGGCAUUCAUAAGAUAUCCAGUUCACAUUUUUUAAUUCAGUGGAAAGGAAAUUCUUCAAGGAAGCAACAGCCCAUGUACACUGAGGGGGCAGUGCCUUUUGACUGUACUCUAUGUAAACACAGAAAUACUAUGUGGCCCUUUUCAUGUCCUUUGAGUAUCAGAAUGAAUCACUGUAAAGGGACAAACUUAAUCAUUUUUCAAAGCUGCCAGCUGGAAUCUUAACUGGAAAUUCUGCAGGAUGACAAUGCCUAUUAAUGCUUUCAGUUGUUUU